GAAAUGCGAUAAGUAAUGUGAAUUGCAGAAUUCAGUGAAUCAUCGAAUCUUUGAACGCACAUUGCGCCCUCUGGUAUUCCGGGGGGCAUGCCUGUUCGAGCGUCAUUUCAACCCUCAAGCUCAGCUUGGUGUUGGGCAUCACCGGCCCCGGUGUGCCCCAAAAUCAGUGGCAAGGCCACCUCGGCUCCGAGCGCAGUAGAUCUUCUCGCUUGUGGAGGCCCGGUGUGUUGCUGCCAACAACCCCAUAUUUUCUCAAGGUUGACCUCGGAUCAGGUAGGGAUACCCGCUGAACUUAA
rnacentral:misc_RNA from 1 species